rnacentral:rRNA from 1 species
GUAGGGGGCAAGCGUUGUCCGGAUUUAUUGGGCGUAAAGAGCGUGUAGGCGGCCUGACAAGUCUGCUGUGAAAACUCGAGGCUCAACCUCGAGAUGUCGGCGGAAACUGUCUGGCUAGAGUCCGGAAGAGGAGAGUGGAAUUCCUGGUGUAGCGGUGAAAUGCGCAGAUAUCAGGAAGAACACCUAUGGCGAAGGCAGCUCUCUGGGACGGUACUGACGCUGAGACGCGAAAGCGUGGGGAGCGAACAGGAUUAGAUACCCUGGUAGUCCACGCCGUAAACGAUGGGUGCUAGGUGUGGGCGGUGUCGACUCCGUCCGUGCCGAAGCUAACGCAUUAAGCACCCCGCCUGGGGAGUACGGCCGCAAGGCUA